rnacentral:rRNA from 1 species
GACGAACGCUGGCGGCGUGCUUAACACAUGCAAGUCGAACGGAAAGGCCCUGCUUUUGUGGGGUGCUCGAGUGGCGAACGGGUGAGUAACACGUGAGUAACCUGCCCUUGACUUUGGGAUAACUUCAGGAAACUGGGGCUAAUACCGGAUAGGAGCUCCUGCUGCAUGGUGGGGGUUGGAAAGUUUCGGCGGUUGGGGAUGGACUCGCGGCUUAUCAGCUUGUUGGUGGGGUAGUGGCUUACCAAGGCUUUGACGGAUAGCCGGCCUGAGAGGGUGACCGGCCACAUUGGGACUGAGAUACGGCCCAGACUCCUACGGGGGGCAGCAGUGGGGAAUAUUGCACAAUGGGCGGAAGCCUGAUGCAGCGACGCCGCGUGCGGGAUGACGGCCUUCGGGUUGUAAACCGCUUUCGCCUGUGACGAAGCGUGAGUGACGGUAAUGGGUAAAGAAGCACCGGCUAACUACGUG